CCGCUAGAUGAAGAAGAAUUGAUCUCCUACAUCCUCUCCGACCUUGACAUGGAGUACAAUCCAAUCGUGACGAACUUGGUUGGGCGUCCAGAACCAAUCUCAGUUGGAGAGGUUUACUCCUAACUCCUCAGUUUCCAGC